UUAAGCGACUAAGCGUACACGGUGGAUGCCCUGGCAGUCAGAGGCGAUGAAGGACGUGCUAAUCUGCGAUAAGCGUCGGUGAGGUGAUAUGAACCGUUAUAACCGGCGAUUUCCGAAUGGGGGAAACCCAGUGUGUUUCGACACACUAUCAUUAACUGAAUCCAUAGGUUAAUGAGGCGAACCGGGGGGAACUGAAACAUCUAAGUACCCCGAGGAAAAGAAAUCAACCGAGAUUCCCCCCCAGUAGCGGCGAGCGAACGGGGAGGAGCCCAGAGCCUGAAUCAGUGUGUGUGUUAGUGGAAGCGUCUGGAAAGGCGCGCGAUACAGGGUGACAGCCCCGUACACAAAAAUGCACAUAUUGUGAGCUCGAUGAGUAGGGCGGGACACGUGGUAUCCUGUCUGAAUAUGGGGGGGGACCAUCCUCCAAGGCUAAAUACUCCUGACUGACCGAUAGUGAACCAGUACCGUGAGGGAAAGGCGAAAAGAACCCCGGCGAGGGGGAGUGAAAAAGAACCUGAAACCGUGUACGUACAAGCAGUGGGAGCCUCUUAAUGGGGUGACUGCGUACCUUUUGUAUAAUGGGUCAGCGACUUAUAUUCUGUAGCAAGGUUAACCGAAUAGGGGAGCCGAAGGGAAACCGAGUCUUAACUGGGCGUUAAGUUGCAGGGUAUAGACCCGAAACCCGGUGAUUCUAGCCAUGGGCAGGUUGAAGGUUGGGUAACACUAACUGGAGGACCGAACCGACUAAUGUUGAAAAAUUAGCGGAUGACUUGUGGCUGGGGGUGAAAGGCCAAUCAAACCGGGAGAUAGCUGGUUCUCCCCGAAAGCUAUUUAGGUAGCGCCUCGUGAAUUCAUCUCCGGGGGUAGAGCACUGUUUCGGCAAGGGGGUCAUCCCGACUUACCAACCCGAUGCAAACUGCGAAUACCGGAGAAUGUUAUCACGGGAGACACACGGCGGGUGCUAACGUCCGUCGUGAAGAGGGAAACAACCCAGACCGCCAGCUAAGGUCCCAAAGUCAUGGUUAAGUGGGAAACGAUGUGGGAAGGCCCAGACAGCCAGGAUGUUGGCUUAGAAGCAGCCAUCAUUUAAAGAAAGCGUAAUAGCUCACUGGUCGAGUCGGCCUGCGCGGAAGAUGUAACGGGGCUAAACCAUGCACCGAAGCUGCGGCAGCGACGCUUAUGCGUUGUUGGGUAGGGGAGCGUUCUGUAAGCCUGUGAAGGUGGCCUGUGAGGGUUGCUGGAGGUAUCAGAAGUGCGAAUGCUGACAUAAGUAACGAUAAAGCGGGUGAAAAGCCCGCUCGCCGGAAGACCAAGGGUUCCUGUCCAACGUUAAUCGGGGCAGGGUGAGUCGACCCCUAAGGCGAGGCCGAAAGGCGUAGUCGAUGGGAAACAGGUUAAUAUUCCUGUACUUGGUGUUACUGCGAAGGGGGGACGGAGAAGGCUAUGUUGGCCGGGCGACGGUUGUCCCGGUUUAAGCGUGUAGGCUGGUUUUCCAGGCAAAUCCGGAAAACCAAGGCUGAGGCGUGAUGACGAGGCACUACGGUGCUGAAGCGACAAAUGCCCUGCUUCCAGGAAAAGCCUCUAAGCAUCAGGUAACAUCAAAUCGUACCCCAAACCGACACAGGUGGUCAGGUAGAGAAUACCAAGGCGCUUGAGAGAACUCGGGUGAAGGAACUAGGCAAAAUGGUGCCGUAACUUCGGGAGAAGGCACGCUGAUAUGUAGGUGAAGCGACUUGCUCGUGGAGCUGAAAUCAGUCGAAGAUACCAGCUGGCUGCAACUGUUUAUUAAAAACACAGCACUGUGCAAACACGAAAGUGGACGUAUACGGUGUGACGCCUGCCCGGUGCCGGAAGGUUAAUUGAUGGGGUUAGCGGUAACGCGAAGCUCUUGAUCGAAGCCCCGGUAAACGGCGGCCGUAACUAUAACGGUCCUAAGGUAGCGAAAUUCCUUGUCGGGUAAGUUCCGACCUGCACGAAUGGCGUAAUGAUGGCCAGGCUGUCUCCACCCGAGACUCAGUGAAAUUGAACUCGCUGUGAAGAUGCAGUGUACCCGCGGCAAGACGGAAAGACCCCGUGAACCUUUACUAUAGCUUGACACUGAACAUUGAGCCUUGAUGUGUAGGAUAGGUGGGAGGCUUUGAAGUGUGGACGCCAGUCUGCAUGGAGCCGACCUUGAAAUACCACCCUUUAAUGUUUGAUGUUCUAACGUGGGCCCCUAAUCGGGGUUGCGGACAGUGUCUGGUGGGUAGUUUGACUGGGGCGGUCUCCUCCUAAAGAGUAACGGAGGAGCACGAAGGUUGGCUAAUCCCUGGUCGGACAUCAGGAGGUUAGUGCAAUGGCAUAAGCCAGCUUGACUGCGAGCGUGACGGCGCGAGCAGGUGCGAAAGCAGGUCAUAGUGAUCCGGUGGUUCUGAAUGGAAGGGCCAUCGCUCAACGGAUAAAAGGUACUCCGGGGAUAACAGGCUGAUACCGCCCAAGAGUUCAUAUCGACGGCGGUGUUUGGCACCUCGAUGUCGGCUCAUCACAUCCUGGGGCUGAAGUAGGUCCCAAGGGUAUGGCUGUUCGCCAUUUAAAGUGGUACGCGAGCUGGGUUUAGAACGUCGUGAGACAGUUCGGUCCCCUAUCUGCCGUGGGCGCUGGAGAACUGAGGGGGGGCUGCUCCUAGUACGAGAGGACCGGAGUGGACGCAUCACUGGUGUUCGGGUUGUCAUGCCAAUGGCACUGCCCGGUAGCUAAAUGCGGAAGAGAUAAGUGCUGAAAGCAUCUAAGCACGAAACUUGCCCCCGAGAUGAGUUCUCCCUGAGACUUAGAGUCUCCUGAAGGAACGUUGAAGACGACGACGUUGAUAGGCCGGGUGUGUAAGCGCAGCGAUGCGUUGAGCUAACCGGUACUAAUGAACCGUGAGGCUUAACCU
rnacentral:rRNA from 1 species